GAUGAACGCUGGCGGCGUGCCUAAUACAUGCAAGUCGAGCGAACGGACGAGAAGCUUGCUUCUCUGAUGUUAGCGGCGGACGGGUGAGUAACACGUGGAUAACCUACCUAUAAGACUGGGAUAACUUCGGGAAACAGGAGCUAAUACCGGAUAAUAUUUUGAACCGCAUGGUUCAAAAGUGAAAGACGGUCUUGCUGUCACUUAUAGAUGGAUCCGCGCUGCAUUAGCUAGUUGGUAAGGUAACGGCUUACCAAGGCAACGAUGCAUAGCCGACCUGAGAGGGUGAUCGGCCAAACUGGAACUGAGACACGGUCCAGACUCCUACGGGAGGCAGCAGUAGGGAAUCUUCCGCAAUGGGCGAAAGCCUGACGGAGCAACGCCGCGUGAGUGAUGAAGGUCUUCGGAUCGUAAAACUCUGUUAUUAGGGAAGAACAUAUGUGUAAGUAACUGUGCACAUCUUGACGGUACCUAAUCAGAAAGCCACGGCUAACUACGUG
rnacentral:rRNA from 1 species